CCCAAGCUUGCUUGGGUACUCGAGUGGCGAACGGGUGAGUAACACGUGGGUGAUCUGCCCUGCACUUCGGGAUAAGCCUGGGAAACUGGGUCUAAUACCGGAUAGGACGAUGGUUUGGAUGCCAUUGUGGAAAGUUUUUCGGUGUGGGAUGAGCUCGCGGCCUAUCAGCUUGUUGGUGGGGUAAUGGCCUACCAAGGCGUCGACGGGUAGCCGGCCUGAGAGGGUGUACGGCCACAUUGGGACUGAGAUACGGCCCAGACUCCUACGGGAGGCAGCAGUGGGGAAUAUUGCACAAUGGGCGCAAGCCUGAUGCAGCGACGCCGCGUGGGGGAUGACGGCCUUCGGGUUGUAAACUCCUUUCGCUAGGGACGAAGCGUUUUUGUGACGGUACCUGGAGAAGAAGCACCGGCUAACUACGUGCCAGCAGCCGCGGUAAUACGUAGGGUGCGAGCGUUGUCCGGAAUUACUGGGCGUAAAGAGCUCGUAGGUGGUUUGUCGCGUCGUUUGUGUAAGCCCGCAGCUUAACUGCGGGACUGCAGGCGAUACGGGCAUAACUUGAGUGCUGUAGGGGAGACUGGAAUUCCUGGUGUAGCGGUGGAAUGCGCAGAUAUCAGGAGGAACACCGAUGGCGAAGGCAGGUCUCUGGGCAGUAACUGACGCUGAGGAGCGAAAGCAUGGGUAGCGAACAGGAUUAGAUACCCUGGUAGUCCAUGCCGUAAACGGUGGGCGCUAGGUGUGAGUCCCUUCCACGGGGUUCGUGCCGUAGCUAACGCAUUAAGCGCCCCGCCUGGGGAGUACGGCCGCAAGGCUAAAACUCAAAGGAAUUGACGGGGGCCCGCACAAGCGGCGGAGCAUGUGGAUUAAUUCGAUGCAACACGAAGAACCUUACCUGGGCUUGACAUACACCAGAUCGGGCCAGAGAUGGUCUUUCCCUUUGUGGUUGGUGUACAGGUGGUGCAUGGUUGUCGUCAGCUCGUGUCGUGAGAUGUUGGGUUAAGUCCCGCAACGAGCGCAACCCUUGUCUUAUGUUGCCAGCAAUUCGGUUGGGGACUCGUGAGAGACUGCCGGGGUUAAC
rnacentral:rRNA from 1 species